rnacentral:misc_RNA from 1 species
GAUGAAGAACGUAGCGAAAUGCGAUAAGUAGUGUGAAUUGCAGAAUUCAGUGAAUCAUCGAAUCUUUGAACGCACAUUGCGCCCCUUGGUAUUCCAUGGGGCAUGCCUGUUCGAGCGUCAUUUGUACCUUCAAGCUCUGCUUGGUGUUGGGUGUUUGUCUCGCCUCUGCGUGUAGACUCGCCUCAAAACAAUUGGCAGCCGGCGUAUUGAUUUCGGAGCGCAGUACAUCUCGCGCUUUGCACUCAUAACGACGACGUCCAAAAGUACAUUUUUACACUCUUGACCUCGGAUCAGGUAGGGAUACCCGCUGAACUUAAGCAUAUCAAUAAGCAGGA